rnacentral:rRNA from 1 species
GGAAGACGGCCCUAUGGGUUGUAAACUGCUUUCCCNGAGGAAGAAACCCUCCCUUGCGAGGGAGCUUGACGGUACUCUGCGAAUAAGGAUCGGCUAACUCCGUGCCAGCAGCCGCGGUAAUACGGAGGAUCCAAGCGUUAUCCGGAAUCAUUGGGUUUAAAGGGUCCGUAGGCGGGACAAUCAGUCAGCGGUGAAAGUCUGUGGCUCAACCAUAGAAUUGCCAUUGAUACUGUUGUUCUUGAAUACUUAUGAAGUGGUUGGAAUAUGUAGUGUAGCGGUGAAAUGCAUAGAUAUUACAUAGAACACCGAUUGCGAAGGCAGAUCACUAAUAAUUUAUUGACGCUGAUGGACGAAAGCGUAGGUAGCGAACAGGA